rnacentral:rRNA from 1 species
GACAGAGGUGCCGAGCGUUAGGCGGAAUCACUGGGCUUAAAGCGUGUGUAGGCGGGGCCGGAAGUACCUUGUGAAAUCCCACGGCUCAACCGUGGAACUGCUUGGUAUACUGCGGGUCUUGAGCCACUUAGGGGCAAGCGGAACAAACGGUGGAGCGGUGAAAUGCGUAGAUAUCGUUUGGAACGCCAAUGGUGAAAACAGCUUGCUGGGAGUGUGCUGACGCUGAGACACGAAAGCCAGGGGAGCAAACGGG